UAGAGACAUAGAAGUUUCAACGGCCCCAAACGCUUGUAAUUUGUUACCAUAAGAAUUCAUCAAAAAAAAAAAAACACUUAAAGCUUACAGCUAACAUCAAUAAAUAAAAAGAAAACAAGGAAAAGAAGUCACUUAUGUUAUCUGGUGCGUAAAGUGUCGAUCACAUACAUAACAACUGGCUAUCUAUAUUCGUUACCUUCAAAAACUUAAAGCAAAGAUUAACUACAAAUCAAAGAACAAUCAAAUCCAAGUUGGAAUAUUUUCAAAAUUCACAGAGAGGUUGAAGCAAAUUGAAAAUUUCAUGUAGUAGCAUUACCAUAAAUUCAACUUGUGUUUUCUGAUGAAAUUUCAGAUCCACCGCCGAAAAAUCCUACUAAUUGAACUGUAUUAUCGAAACUUACAAUCAAUCCGCCCGAGACCAGGAGACAUCUUACAAUCAAAACUUCACCAUUGGAAACAUACAUCUCUUUUAUAAAGUUGACGGCGCAGGCGAGAUUCAGCAAAGAGCGACGUUUUCGGUAAACGAGAACUCAUCGAACUGCUUCAAUCAAAGCUUGAGUCGGUGGUAUUUGACCAGAGAGCGGAUUAUUAGAUAGAUUGAAGUGUCUGAGACUCGUCUGGUUAAUAGGAGGGAUUGAGCCAAUGGAGAGAUUGUCCUGAACAGUGAGCGUGUAGAGUCGAGAAAGAUGGAGCAACGACCUAGGGAUUCGACCGGAGAGAACUGGCCGGAGAAGUUGUUGUCGUUGAGAAAAACCGAUUUGAGAUUGACUAAACCGGAGAGAUCAGGGAUUGAAACUAAGAACCCUAAGUUGAUCCAAUUGGUUCAAACUCUCUUGUCGUCGAGUGAGCCAGUGAGAAGAUUCAAAAAACUCAUGAACAAGCUUGGAUACUCUUCCGUUCAUACAUUCUCUCUCUAUCACCUUGCUAGUUGCAGAGAUCUGUUCGUCGCCAUGGAAUCGAAUUAGACGGAUCGAUUGAAGAUUUCAAGCUGAGUAGAGCUUGGACGUCGCUAGAGAUCUUGCCGGAGUAACCAAACAGAGGAAUACUACUGUACAUGCAAAGACUACUAGUAACAACAACGACGUAAUCGAUGAAGAAGAAGAAGAAGCCAUUAAUUACGAAUUUAUUAGUUUGCUUAGCUCAAGCGUGAUAAAGAAGAAGAAAGAGAUGUGAAUUGAGUUCACGUAAAGUAAGGCUGAGUCAGUCCAACACCUAAAGAGACUUGCAGUCAUUUAAUUGGCUUCCCAUCAACAUAUUUUUUGACUUCAUUGACCUUCGCAUUUUGAAGGAUUGAAGAGCUUGUCCAUGGUUGAUGUACAUGUGAUUUACCUGCAAUUUGUAUCUUGAACGUGGACAGGUCAGGGAUGAUGAAUUGAAGAAGCUGAUGGUGCCAACUAUCAGCUUGAGAUGAUGAGAUGUCUGAGGGAGGUUGUUAAUGUUGACAACAACACUGUUGGUUGUCUGCAGUUCUUGGUUCCUAACAGAUCGUGGAACUCAUUUAGACCUUCAUGAAUUACCAGGAAAACAUCAAGAGGUGUGUGUGCAUCCUAUAUGAUCCCUCUUAAGCGGACCUAGGCGUUGAAGCUUUCAGAUUCCUUUAUGGAGUUGUACCGAGGUGGAAACUUUAAUGGCGAAAAGUUGAGAGAGAAGAAUUUUUCCUGGAUGGGUAUUUUUGAAGACAUACCUGCAAGUCUCUAGCUCUCUUCUAUGUUGAAGUCUUACCAGCUAAUCUUUUUGAAGUAAAUACUAAAUAGAUCAAGGUUUCAAACUCUGCACUUUUCAGUGCCUUCAUGGCCGAACUGGAGACUGAUACACCUGUCUCACAGGGCGAUUAUGAUCGUCUACACUCAUCAACCGCUCCUUUCCUUGAGAACAAUAUGGCAUUUUAGAUUAAAUGCAUGGAUGAUUUAUCUAUGCAACAACAAAAGUGGCCAAUACUACUACCGGAACCUGUCUCGUCAGCAAGCGCAACAGCAAGUCUGGCUCCAUAAGAGAAGGUGACACAAGUUUAGUUACAAGAGUAGGGAAUGUCCUAUAACCAUUGUCUUAAGCAACAAAAGGAAAAGCCAUUGAUUUGGAGGACAUCAAAUUUCAUCAGUGUGUUCGAUUGGCCCGUUUUGAGAACGACAGGACGAUAUCUUUUGAUCUAAUGACGUAUAG